AUACCUUUCUCGGCCUUUUGGCUAAGAUCAAGUGUAGUAUCUGUUUUUAUCAGUUUAAUAUCUGAUAUAUAGGUCAUGGACCUAUUUUGAUAUUAAAUUUAUUUUUUUAUGGGGAAGGAUCUAUCAUAAUGGCUUGCCAUUAGGAUCCUUGUGUGUCGCCGAGGUGUUGCACUAUUGACUGGGCUGGCACACCCCAA